GUUGACGUAGCUUAACUUAUUAAAGCAAAGCACUGAAAAUGCUUAGAUGAGUAAUUAUUACUCCGUAGACA
rnacentral:tRNA from 2 species